AUUGAACGCUGGCGGCAGGCUUAACACAUGCAAGUCGAGCGAGCGGCGGACGGGUGAGUAAUGUCUGGGAAACUGCCUGCUGGGGGGGGAUAACUACUGGAAACGGUAGCUAAUACCGCAUACCAUCAGAUGUGCCCAGAUGGGAUGAGCUAGUAGGUGGGGUACUGGCUCACCUAGGCGACGAUGCCUAGCUGGUCUGAGAGGAUGACCAGCAACACUGGGACUGAGACACGGCCCAGACUCCUACGGGAGGCAGCAGUGGGGAAUAUUGCACAAUGGGCGCAAGCCUGAUGCAGCCAUGCCGCGGGUGUGAAGAAGGCCUUCGGGUUGUAAAGCACUUUCAGCGAGGAGGCGUUACUCGCAGAAGAAGCACCGGCUAACUCAGUGCCAGCCGCCGCGGUAAUUC
rnacentral:rRNA from 1 species